GACGUAGGGGGCCAGCGUUGUUCGGAAUUACUGGGCGUAAAGGGUUCGUAGGCGGUGGGGCAAGUCGGGUGUGAAAUCUCUGGGCUCAACCCAGAGUCUGCUUCCGAAACUGCUGUGCUUGAGUGCGGGAGAGGCGCGUGGAAUUGCAGGUGUAGCGGUGAAAUGCGUAGAUAUCUGCAGGAACACCCGUGGCGAAAGCGGCGCGCUGGACCACUACUGACGCUGAGGAACGAAAGCUAGGGGAGCAAACAGG
rnacentral:rRNA from 1 species